GGUGCAAAGCUUCGCCCAGAGCCUCUUCUUGAGGAAAGCCUGAGAAGCAGACCCACCUGGAGUCCCCCAGCCUGGGCUGUGUCCAUUGGGGACAUGGACUUCGAUGUUCCGGGUUGGGGUCCUGGGUUUUGUCCGUAUCCUGCACCUGACUCCAGAUGACCUCGGGGUUGCUGGGAGGGUCCAACUAGCUGAUGCCUCCUGACAGAUUCUGCGGAGGAGACCUCCUGCUGUGAGUCUCUUUUGUUACAACUCGAGGAACAAAGGAUCAAGAGAGGUCCCUCGAAAACUUUGCAAAAACCCAGACUCUUUGGAAUGCACUCAUGGAAGACGUAAGCAAGCGGCCACCGAUCGAUCGAGUGCCAAAUCACACGGGAAACAGAGUUACAGGCAGGGGUCACGUGCUGCUUCGUCUCCCACGGUUGCCCCUCCCUCGCCAUUGGCCUCACUGAGCAGCAUCUGAUCCCCUCGCCUUGGACAGACGCUGGGUUGAGGAAGAACAGGCAUCCGCGUGCAACAGGAAUUUGGUGCCCUCCAGUGCAGGAUCUCUGCCGUCUUACAAUUCCAGUUGGUCGUAUAAAAUCGUACGUCAGCCAUGGCCAGCCAGCUCCUUACUGACUCCAGUUCGUACAUCAAUUCACACAUCCCUUCAUUCAUUUAUGCAAUACCAGCCUCCACCCUGUGCCAGGUGCUGGUGCCAGGAGAAAAAGUCGCUUCUCUACAGGAAUUCCCUGGAUGUGAUGCCCAUUACCCCUCCCUCCCCUCUCCCAGCGACCCUGAGCAUUGUUCUUGUACGAGCCUGUGCAAUCCAGCAGCCCAGUAGCUGGCCAUACCACCACUGCGCAGAAGCUGGCCAUGGGCAGGCCAGGAGACGUUCAAAACAUGACCUGGCAUUGGAGGUCAGGGUGGAAGGCAGCCGGGCAAUCACCUAAAGAGGAAGUUCCGCCUUGUUUUCUGGAAAGAACCUACUGUACAUCCACCCAAGAGGGCAGAUGCCCCAACCUGUCCACAAGUUUCGACAUGCAUGUAAUGUGAAUUGGCAAGGAAGCUUGGUUACAAGUAAUGGGAAGUCCUGGGAGAUGGCUUAAAGCUAGGAUGCAGGGCCCUGGCUGGUGUGUCUCAGUGGGUUGAGCACGAGCUGAGAACCAAAACAUUGCCGGUUUGAUUCCCGGUCAGGGCACAUGCCUGGGUUGCAAACCAGGUCCCC